GCAGUCCUCCUUGGCUUGCUGGUGCUGAAGUAUCCAUAGCUAAUUCUAUGUGUGGCAGCUCUCACGAGAGUUCUUGUGCUAGCUUCCAGCAGGAGAGAAGAAAACGGCAGCAGAAAGACUUGCAGAUGGGCAGCCAGGCAGCACCUCUGGGAAAGUGAUCAAGCAGGCUCCUUGAGUACUUGUCCAUCAACCAUGUCAGUAUUUAUGGAAUAUCGACUGUGCUAAGAUCUUCAGCAGGACUUCAACUCCUUUAUAAACUGCAAUGUACAUCUUUCUCUUCAUAAAUGUUGUUUUAUUCGUAUGCAAAUUUAUGCAUUUAAUGAAUUAUCAGUGUAUCAAUUAAAGCUCUUCCAAUAAAUCAACUAAGAUUUCUUUAAUCAGAUUAGAAAGUAGCCUUAUGUAGUUUAGGCUGUAGUUGUAUAUGGAAAUCUUUCUAUAGUUAUUCUAUCAAACUGAACUGUGCCUGUAAUUAUUUUACAUUUGACAGAUUGCUGUGUUAAGAAGCAAUAAUGAUUUAUUACUGUGCUUAACAGAAGUACAAUUAAAUUAACUUACACAUUAGAGUGGAAUACUGUAUUAGUGUGGCUGGCUAUCUCAUCAUGUGAUAAAAACAACUUGUCUUUUAACUCUC